CGAUAACCGUCGCCUUCAAAAGCCCCCUCUUCAAGGAUAAAACAAUACGACCUACUUGAUCGUCAUAUCUGAUUCCGAUCAAACCUUGGAAGGUGAUGUGCAGAGUGUCUGGAUCCUCUGUGAUUUCAACUGCUAAUUCCACUCUCAUGGCAAUUGUAAUUGUCGAGGUGUGCACAAAUUUCUUGUCGUUGCCAAUAUCAUGCAUGCUCUUGUAGAAACCCAAUAAAGGGGGUUUUGUAGAAAUAUUUAAAGGUCGUUCGAUUCUUGACUCACGGCUUUGUUGUUGUUAUUGUUCGAUUCUUUCCAAACAGAAGUGUAUCGGUAAGAAAGAGUUCAUGCUUAGCUUAAAAGUUGUGCCUGUUUAUUAGGGUUUCGAAACAGUUCUACAAUCCAUUCCCAUUGUUAAUUAUGACCGUGAAAGAUGUUGAAGACGGAAGAGCUGCCGUUUCAAGAAACCAAGAGGUCCUAAAGAGAAACUAGUCUUUACCGUGAAAAAUUAUGAUCUGGGAGGUCAUGAAUUCAUUGGUUAGAACUCUCCUAAUCAUGCUUUAUCUUCUCCUAAUCUUAUCAGUUACUCUUUCAUGUGUUCUCUGGUUAUUGAAUUGGAAAAGCAAAAUAAGAUGCUGCCAAACAAAUGAUCACACUUUUUAUCUGUGAGUCUUCUCAGUUACACUUGAAAGGGGAACACACAAAUGUUCAAUCAAUCAAUGUUGAUUCAUUUAUUGUUAGAUAGAUCAUGUUUGUCAGCAUUCACCUUCUAAGGCUUACUUUUCAAUAAGCUGGAGCAAGGCGGCAAUUUCAUGUGUUUUUUGAGUUUAUGCCAAAUGUGCUAUGAUCAAGAAAGCCAUAUUAGAAACAACCUUUACAGGUAAAAAUACAGAAGUGAUUUCAU